rnacentral:rRNA from 1 species
UACGAAGGGGGCUAGCGUUGUUCGGAUUUACUGGGCGUAAAGCGCACGUAGGCGGAUCGUUAAGUCGGGGGUGAAAUCCUGGAGCUCAACUCCAGAACUGCCUUCGAUACUGGCGCUCUUGAGUCCGGAAGAGGUGAGUGGAGCUCCUAGUGUAGAGGUGGAAUUCGUAGAUAUUAGGAAGAACACCAGUGGCGAAGGCGGCUCACUGGUCCGGUACUGACGCUGAGGUGCGAAAGCGUGGGGAGCAAACAGG